GAGGGUAUAGCUCAGUGGUAGAGUGCCUGCUUAGCAUGCAUGACAUCCUGGGUUCAAUCUCCAGUACCUCCU
rnacentral:tRNA from 1 species